AUGAUCAGAACAAAAAGGGAACCUGAGGCUGGAAUGAAGAUGCACUGUGGCUCCUGUAAUCAUUUCCCUCCUCUCUCCCUCUCCCCUUUCUCCACCUUUGCUGCUGAAGCCACCUUGCAGGGGCAGUCCUGGUCUUGUGAACAGCUGGAGGAAAGACAGUUGAGACCAAUCCCUUGGGGAAGAGCUGCAGAUAUGAGGGAAGACAGCAAGACCUGCAUGAUGUGUGUUUUCAGUUGCUGGGAAACAGAGAGACCCACUGGAGUCCCACAGGCUGGAUGGUUUUGUUUUUUCACCCAGGGUAAAAUCUUAACUAGUUGCUACUAUUUAUGUAUUAGGAGGUUUCCUGAAAAAAAUCAAAAUUUCUGAAUUUUUUUGAAAAAUCAGAAAACAUGGCCACCCAGCCCUGUAUUCCUACAUGGUGGCAGCAGUGGGAGCAGACCUGUUGCUGUGCCCUUGUGGAUCUGUGCUCUCUAGUUCGCCAUGGUCCCUGCCCCUCUGUAUUAUCUCCGGGAUGCAAUAGCCUGGUGUCACCUGCAGUUGGCCACCAUGCUUGAGCUGUUGUGUUUUGAAUAUGUGGCCCACUUCCCUCAUUCGUGUGAACUGCCUUGUCCACAGAGACAUACUCUUGUGAUUCUGACUCUAGAAUGUCUCCUUUAAAAAGUGUUUUAGGACAUAAAGAUAUAUACAUGCUCUAAUCCAUUACUACCCAAUUAGCUAUUGUUGUGGAACCCUGAGUCAUUUUUCUCAAAAUUCUCCUGGCAAAUAUGUUCCCUCUGAAAUCUUCCUCCCCACAUCCCCUGGAAAUAGAAUCUCCUGCCCACGGCUGUAGUGGUCCCUUUCUCUGCAUCCCCCACUAUUCCUCUUCUUUUGGAUCUUGCCAAGGGUUAUGGUCUGCAGUUUUCUAUACCCUUUCAUUCCCUUGCCCUAACCCCCUCGCCUGCCCACUAUGGAAACCUGGCCCUCCCUCCCCGCUGUGGAAACGUGGACCUGUGCUCUGCUUCCCUGCAGCUCUCCAUGGCUAGUGUUCUUUUUUUGCAUCUGGUAGGUAAAAGGAACCAAAGACAAACAUUUACAAGGAACGGAGGACAGGGACGGGUCAGGUUUCUUAAGCUUCUUGGAGCCGGAAUGUCGAUCACCAACUCUAUACCCUUAACAAUUCGCUCUGGACAGUGGCAUAAUAAAUCUGUGCCUUCCACUUUCAGAGAUGAAUAAACAAGAAUGUCUUAUCUCAGAUGUUUGAGGCCUCCCCUCUUUGGCUUUCUAUUCUACUGCCUCUGUUUAGACCUGUGCCACUUGCAAACUUGCCACGGCCUCCCAUCCAGCCUUCCUGCUUCCAGCUCACCCACUCCUGUCCAUCUUCUGCCCUGCCUCAAUCUUCAUCAGGUCUCCCCUCUAUGUGAAUUUGAUCGAGAGCUCCCUAUCACCUUAGAGUGAAGCCCAGGCCCUUGACCAACCAGGCAGGGCUCACCUAAGUUCCCAGCCUCAUUGCUCAUUUCUCACCAUGAGCCCUGGCACUCAGGUCAGGAAGUCAGGAAGCUCUCACCUGGUUUUCCUUGCCCACAUUUUUUUUCCCUCUAUCAGAAAAACUUAUCUCAUUAGGAUGGAGUUGGGUAGGAGGGACACUUGCACAGAUCCUUCAGGAAUCAGUUUAAACACCAAUUCCUCCCCACCCUUUGUCUGACUGCCUGUCUCCACCAAAGCAUUUAGAUUGUUUUGUUUCUCCUCUGCUCCUACCUCUGCUGUGGCCUGCCUGCUUGCACAAUUUACCGAUCCGUUUCCUCCAGACUCUGAGGCCCCAGACAGAGACCCUCUGGCUUGUCUCUGUGUCCUCAGAACAUGGCCCAGGAUCUGGCAUGAGGACAGCCUAAUCCAAGCUUGAGGAAUUGAAUGAUGCAGUACUGAAUUUCAGCAAAGACACACAGAGGUUGUUCAUAAAAGGCUGUCCUUGGGUUUUUUAAAAAUAUGUUUCUUGCUUCCUAGAAGCAAGGACCAUUCUUCAAGACAAUGACCAUGGGCCUCUCUCCACCCUUGCCAGCCACAAGGCCCUCUCUAUUCCUUUCACAGGAAUAGGUCCUUCUGUCACUGGGCACAGGACCUUUGACCACAAAAUGUUGUGAGUUACCACUGACUAUUUUCUGGGUCUUAAUCUUGUGACUCCAAAUGGAUGGUAAGCUCCUUAAAGGAAACUCUGUGAUAUUCAUCAACCAUCCACCCAUCCCUUCAUCUACCCAACCAUCCAUCCAUCUGACCAUCAUCCAUCCAUCCAUCCAUCUAUCCAUCUAUCCAUCUUCCAUCCAUCUGUCCACCCACCCAUCCACCCAUCCAUUCAAUUAUUCAUCCCUCCCUCUUCCAUCCAUUCAUCUAUCUUCCAUCUGUCUGUCCACCCAUCCAUUCAACCAUUUAUCCAUCCAACCACCCAUCUAUUCCUCCAACUACUCGUCUAUUCAUCCCUCUGACCAUCCAACCAUCCAUUGAUUUGUUCAAUUAUUUCAUCAAGCAUCUUCGCUGCACCACACACCCUAAUGGGUGUUGGAGAGAAAAUGGGAGUAAAAUCAGAUGGGACCUCUGAUCUCAGUGCAGCUAGCUAUCAGUCCAGUGGAAGAGACAUGUAAACUGACAAUUACAAAUAAGCAUAAUGUGUCAACUGUGACAAGUGCGGUGAGGGAGAAAUCAGCAGUACUGUAAAAGUCUGUGUGGUCCUGGCGUGAGAGGUGGGAUAAGCCAGCAUGGUAACAGCAGCAAGACCAUGGGAGAGUGUGGUACAGAUGAGCAGGUGUGUAGAGCAUGCAGGCCAUGUGCACCAGCCCAUUCUUUGUGCAUUAAAAUGCACAAAGACAAUAAAACGGGAUUGUCCCAUAACAAUAAAACAGGACCUGUGUUUCGGCAGAUUAUACUAUUGGUUGACUGGGCACAGUGGCUCACACCUGUAAUCCCAGCACUUUGGGAGACGGAGGUGAGAAGAUCACCUGAAGUCAGGAGUUCGAGACCAGCCUGGCCAACAUGGCAAAACCCCAUCUCUACUAAAAAUACAAAAGUUAGCCAGGCAUGGUAACAUGCACCUGUAAUCCCAGCUACCCAGGAGGCUGAGGCAGGAGAAUCACUGGAACCUGGGAGGCAGAGGCUGCAGUGAGAUGAGAUAACCCCAUUGCACUCCAGCCUGGGUGACAGAGCAAGACUCCGUCUCAAAAAAUUAUAAAAAUAUAAAUAAAUGCCACUGGCCUUGCAUCUCAAAUGUCUCUUUGUUCAUUCAUUUAUACAAAUACGCUCAAUAAUAUCUAUGCAUUUUUCCUG
rnacentral:lncRNA from 1 species